rnacentral:rRNA from 1 species
UACGUAGGGUCCGAGCGUUGUCCGGAGUUACUGGGCGUAAAGGGCGCGCAGGCGGCGGUGCCUGGCCCGGCGUGAAAGCCCCCCGGCUCAACCGGGGAGGGUCGUCGGGGACCGCACCGCUUGAGGGCGGUAGGGGCCGGUGGAAUGCCUGGUGUAGUGGUGAAAUGCGUAGAGAUCAGGCAGAACGACCUGGGGCGAAGGCGGCCGGCUGGGCCGACCCUGACGCUGAGGCGCGAAGGCGUGGGGAGCGAACGGG